GGGGAGGCCUCAGUGUCUCCUCUCCUUCGGGAGAAUGGAAGGACGCCUGCGGCCUACGUAGAUCCUUAGCUGCAGAGCCACGGGGAAGCCCUAAAUGGAUGACUGUUGCUGUUAAGUCUCUAAGUCAUGUCUAACUCUCCCUGACCAUAUGGACUGCAGCAUGCCAGGCUUCUCUGUCCUUCAUCGGAGUGGGUUGCCAUUUCCUUCUCCAGGGGAUCUUCCCAACCCAAGGAUUGAAACCAGGUCUCUGGCCUAGCAGGAAGAUUUUUUUACCAUCUGAGCCACCACGGAAGCCCCUCUUUUAAUAUGUUAAAUCUUUUAACAUGCCAAAUGUGUGUCAUUUGUAACUGUACUAACGAUGAAUACUUUUAUCUUCUGGUACAAAACAUGUGAUGGAACACAUACUUUUCAGAGCCAUUUGGAGUUUUUGGUGUGUGAAACACACAAUCAUGGUUCUCUUUUUGCUUGUGUUUCUAUUAAGGUGUCUGUGUUUUUACCAUUGUUUUUGUUCCACAUUUUUUGGGUGCAAAAUCCAGAAACAAUACCAUUGAUUUAAAGAAGUUCUUUUGUAUAUCCACUGUAUAUACAUUCUUUUUGGUUACAUGAUAUUUUCUCCAAAUUUGGUACUUGUCUGUUCACUCACUUCAUGAUAUCCUCUGAUGCUUCAGUUCAGUCCAGUCACUCAGUCAUGUCCGACUCUG